CUUUAAGAUUCUCCACUCCAAGACAGACGUGUUUGGUAAAGGUAAGUGGGUUCAGCUGGCAGCUGCCCCAGGAUUGGCCACCUGUCCGGUUCUGUCCUUACGGUGUUUUUGCGCAGUUCGCCCUGCACUGGCUGGCCCCCUGUUAGUGCACGAAGAUGGAAGCUUCCUCUCCCAUUUUCAGUUUGUCAGGGUGUUUCGGCUGGGGUUGGCUGCGUUGGGCAUGGAGGGUGCGGAGUUUGGAGGGAAUUCCUUCUGAAUUGGCACAGCGAUGGAG